rnacentral:rRNA from 1 species
UACGUAGGUGGCAAGCGUUGUCCGGAAUUAUUGGGCGUAAAGCGCGCGCAGGCGGUCCUUUAAGUCUGAUGUGAAAUCCCGUGGCUUAACCACGGGCGGUCAUUGGAAACUGGGGGACUUGAGUGCAGAAGAGAAGAGCGGAAUUCCACGUGUAGCGGUGAAAUGCGUAGAGAUGUGGAGGAACACCAGUGGCGAAGGUGGCUCUUUGGUCUGUAACUGACGCUGAGGCGCGAAAGCGUGGGGAGCGAACAGG